CAUAAAGUGAUUAAAUCGUUUUUUGUAAAGUUAAUAGCUUAAACAGAGUGGGACUUGUUUUUUGGAAUUGUAGGACAUGUUAUUUAUUGAGUAGUAUCAAACAUAAUUCAUUAUUAAUUAAGUGUAUCCCAUCUUUAACAUGCUUUACCUGAGAUUAUUAUUGUUACUUUAUUAUUACAACAUGAGACUCAACAAUGAUGGGUGACACUAAUCUAAUGAUAAUUUAUCACCUAUGAAUAUGAUCACUUCCUAUUCUUAUGCUCAUAGCUAUAAUUCCCCUCUAUGAACAUGAGACCUUUCUAUAGGUUGUCUGGAUUCGAGACACUUUUUUUUUAAUCAUUAAGCCUUUCUGAGUGAGGGGAUGUAAUCAGUUGCUUGUGGUUUUUGUAGCCAGGGGAUGAAUUUCCACCUAUUUCAUGUUAUGGUAUUUGGUCUUUAGCUUGUUACUACUUUGGUGAAAUGUCCACUAUGAGUGUUUGUCAUGAGAGGGGGAAAGAAAGGGUUGUUGAAAUCUUAAUGGAGUAACAUUCAUCUCUUUUACCCUUUGUUUGGUAGAAAGAGUUAAAUUUAACCUCCUUUUGGGGUUAGGUGAACCAAAUCCCUGUGGUUAAAGGAAAGGGAAAAAGUUUUU
rnacentral:misc_RNA from 1 species